UGUUUAUGUUCAACACACCUCCAACAUAUUAUUCUGCUGUCCGCACGGAGAGCGAAGCAUUAAAAAUAAAAAUAAACAUUUUGGGGGAAUGUAACUUUGUACAGGAAGAAAGCUAACACGAAAGCGUCGUAUGAUUGGCCAUUCUGACUGUUUUUUUUUGUAUCAAACAUUGAGAUUUGUUGACAAAUUGCCUUUGUUAGCUGGUAACUCAACCAACUUGGUCUGAAGCGGCGGGUGGUAGAUGGUUGUCCCCCGCUCACUGAGCGGUGUGUCUCGGCAGGAGGAGCGCAUCGACUCCGCUUCAUUGGCAGCAGAGAACUGGAAGGAGAGGCGGCCAAAGAAAGAAUUGGUUUUGGGGGUGACCAGAGAGAUAUACCUGCUGGAGCGCGUGCUACAGGGUUGCAGCGGCGACAACCAACAGGCACAUGCAGGAUGAGGAGGCGGAGCUGAAGCUCAGCUGACCCCACCCAUUUAGUGUGACCUCCCUCCUACCCUCACCCAUCCAGCCAGCCGGGCCCAUGUUCUCUCCAGAGCAGGAAAAUAUCUCCCCCUCCUCCACCUCCUCCUCCAAAGUGCCGGUGAAAUAUGGAGAGCUCAUGGUGCUGGGGUAAGGAGCCAACCACAUUAUAACACUUCACCACUUAGUAACUAACUCAGA
ensembl:lncRNA